GCCUGCUGUCACCGACGAAGCACAUUAAGGCUGCCCCCUGUGCAGCGGCGUGGGACGGUGAAGCUGAACGGGGCGGCAUUACCGAAAGGAAGUGAGGUAGAGGCCGAGGGGCGUGCAACCGCCCUCGACAAGAGCUUUGGGUUCUCGAAGUUUUUCAGGAGCAUGUACGGCUUGGGAAAGAGAGAUCCGAAGCAUGCGAUUAGCCCUUCAUGUUUCCAUCCGCGGAGAAGAUGCGGAGAUGCGAAGAGGGGCGCUGCGGGGGCGUCGGGGAGAGCGAGGUACGUGGAAGAUCAGCUGAGACUGGUGGGAUGUGUGUAUGAGUGCGGGGAUGACGGCGACGGCGACGACAACAAUGGGAAUGUCGGAUUUCUAGAGAGUCGUCGAAGUCCUCUCCUCGCUUGAGUUUAUCUUCUUUUUUUUGGUAUAAAAUCUCGCUUGAGUUUGACUGGUAGAUGGGAUUCGAUCUGUUUGACUGGUGGAUGGGAUUCGAUCUGGUGGGAUUUUCUUUCUUUCUUUUCUUUUUAGUUAUUUCGAUUUUGUUUCGUUCGGCCAUGAAUUUACUUAUGUACAUGACGAAAUGCCGAUUAACAGUGGGUAAUCACCAAAAAAAAAAAAAAAAAAGCGAGAUUGCCUUUCGAUCAA